rnacentral:SRP_RNA from 1 species
UAGCUCAGGCGGCGCCAUACCCCGAACCUGGUCAGGUCUUGACGGAAGCAGCCAUAAGGGGUCACUGGCGAGCGCCUGGGUCAUUU